rnacentral:rRNA from 1 species
GAUGAACGCUGGCGGCGUGCCUAAUACAUGCAAGUCGAGCGAACGGACGAGAAGCUUGCUUCUCUGAUGUUAGCGGCGGACGGGUGAGUAACACGUGGAUAACCUACCUAUAAGACUGGGAUAACUUCGGGAAACCGGAGCUAAUACCGGAUAAUAUUUUGAACCGCAUGGUUCAAAAGUGAAAGACGGUCUUGCUGUCACUUAUAGAUGGAUCCGCGCUGCAUUAGCUAGUUGGUAAGGUAACGGCUUACCAAGGCAACGAUGCAUAGCCGACCUGAGAGAGUGAUCGGCCACACUGGAACUGAGACACGGUCCAGACGCCUACGGGAGGCAGCAGUAGGGAAUCUUCCGCAAUGGGCGAGAGCCUGACGGAGCAACGCCGCGUGAGUGAUGAAGGUCUUCGGAUCGUAAAACUCUGUUAUUAGGGAAGAACAUAUGUGUAAGUAACUGUGCACAUCUUGACGGUACCUAAUCAGAAAGCCACGGCUAACUACGUG